rnacentral:rRNA from 1 species
UACAGAGGUGGCAAGCGUUGUUCGGAAUUACUGGGCGUAAAGGGCGCGUAGGCGGCUUUCUAAGUCAGACGUGAAAUCCCCCGGCUUAACCUGGGAACUGCGUCUGAUACUGGAUGGCUUGAAUCCGGGAGAGGGAUGCAGAAUUCCAGGUGUAGCGGUGAAAUGCGUAGAUAUCUGGAGGAAUACCGGUGGCGAAGGCGGCAUCCUGGACCGGCAUUGACGCUGAGGAGCGAAAGCCAGGGGAGCAAACGGG